GCUGGGAUAGCUCAGUUGAUAGAGCAUGAGACUCUUAAUCUGUGGGUGGUGGGUUUGAGUCCCACAUUGGGCA